rnacentral:rRNA from 1 species
AGAUUGAACGCUGGCGGCAGGCCUAACACAUGCAAGUCGAGCGGUAGAGAGGUGCUUGCAUCUCUUGAGAGCGGCGGACGGGUGAGUAAUGCCUAGGAAUCUGCCUAGUGGUGGGGGAUAACGUUCGGAAACGGACGCUAAUACCGCAUACGUCCUACGGGAGAAAGCGGGGGACCUUCGGGCCUCGCGCCAUUAGAUGAGCCUAGGUCGGAUUAGCUAGUUGGUGAGGUAAUGGCUCACCAAGGCGACGAUCCGUAACUGGUCUGAGAGGAUUGGAUACG